rnacentral:rRNA from 1 species
UAGGGAAUAUUGCGCAAUGGGCGGAAGCCUGACGCAGCAACGCCGCGUGGGGGAUGAAGGCCUUCGGGUUGUAAACCUCUUUCAGCAGGGAAGAAGCGAAAGUGACGGUACCUGUAGAAGAAGGACCGGCUAACUACGUGCCAGCAGCCGCGGUAAUACGUAGGGUCCAAGCGUUGUCCGGAAUUAUUGGGCGUAAAGAGCUCGUAGGCGGCGUGUCGCGUCGGAUGUGAAAGCCCGGGGCUCAACUCCGGGUCUGCAUUCGGUACGGGCAUGCUGGAGUUCGGUAGGGGAGACUGGAAUUCCUGGUGUAGCGGUGAAAUGCGCAGAUAUCAGGAGGAACACCGGUGGCGAAGGCGGGUCUCUGGGCCGAUACUGACGCUGAGGAGCGAAAGCGUGGGGAGCGAACAGG